UACGGAGGGUGCAAGCGUUGCUCGGAAUUACUGGGCGUAAAGCGCGUGUAGGCGGUUUCGUGUGUCUGAUGUGAAAUCCCCGGGCUCAACCCGGGAAGUGCAUUGGAAACUGCGAGACUAGAGUCCCGGAGAGGAAGGUGGAAUUCCAGGUGUAGCGGUGAAAUGCGCAGAUAUCAGGAGGAACACCGGUGGCGAAGGCGGGUCUCUGGGCCGAUACUGACGCUGAGGAGCGAAAGCGUGGGGAGCGAACAGG
rnacentral:rRNA from 1 species